rnacentral:lncRNA from 1 species
UUUUUUUUUGUUUUAUUACAUUAACAGAUUAGAUGCUUAUUAUCAUAAUUUGUGGUUCUGUUUUUCACUGCAAUACUUGUUCUCAUGCUAGCACUGGUUGGAGUAAUAUAUCCAGACAACUAGGGAGCUUUGUUCACUGCGCUGGCUGUCAUAUAUGCAGUGUUAUGAAAAGCGCAAAUCGGCUCUAGGCGGUGGAAGGACCUUCUAGCGCUUAAGCGGUAAAGCGGACGCUUAAGCGGAAUCUUAAGCGGGCCAAUAAGCGGAUUAAUAAAAUAUAAUUAAAUAUUUAAUUUUAAUAUUAAUAUAUUCAAAAAUAAUGUUAUAUUGUGGUAAGAAUUUAAAUUUUUAAUAAUAUAUAUAUUUUUUAAUUUUUUAAUAUAAUUAUAAUUAUAUUAUAUAAAAAAAUAUUUUAAAACUGAAAAAUUAGCAAGUCAAAAUCAUUUUGACCGCUUAAGUACCGCUUAAUCCGUUUUUUAAUAUAAUUAUAGUUAUAUUAUAUAAAAAAAUAUUUUAAAACUGAAAAAUUAGCAAGUCAAAAUCAUUUUGACCGCUUAAGUACCGCUUAAUCCGCUUAACGACCGCUUAAUCCGCUUAAUAGUCCGCUUAAUUUUCAAAAACGCUUAAGAACCCGCUUAAUACAAAAUCGAGGCGUUUUAGGACCGAUUCCGCUUAAGCGGCCGCUUAAGCGGCCGCUUAAUGCGCUUUUUAAAACACUGCAUAUAUGCGCUAACAUCCGGGUUUGCAGGCUAUGAUGCAGCCUCUUUUUAUUGCCAACAUGAAGGAACAAACUGGGU